GACGAACGCUGGCGGCGUGCUUAACACAUGCAAGUCGAGCGGAAAGGCCACUUCGGUGGUACUCGAGCGGCGAACGGGUGAGUAACACGUGAGUAAUCUGCCCCUGGCUUUGGGAUAGCCACCGGAAACGGUGAUUAAUACCGGAUACGACCACUUCUCGCAUGGGAUGGUGUCGGAAAGUUUUUUCGGCCAGGGAUGUGCUCGCGGCCUAUCAGCGUGAUGGUGAGGUAAUGGCUCACCAUGGCUUCGACGGGUAGCCGGCCUGAGAGGGUGACCGGUCACACUGGGACUGGGACACGGCCCAGACUCCUACGGGAGGCAGCAGUGGGGAAUAUUGGACAAUGGACGGAAGCCUGAUCCAGCAACGCCGCGUGAGGGAUGACGGCCUUCGGGUUGUAAACCUCUUUUAGCAGGGAAGAAGCGAAAGUGACGGUACCUGCAGAAAAAGCACCGGCUAACUACGUGCCAGCCGCCGCCGUAA
rnacentral:rRNA from 1 species